GCCCGUUUGGCUCAGCGGUAGAGCGCCUCACUAGUAAAAAGGAAUGCAGCAAUUCCAGAAUAAUCCUCGCUAUGAGGAGGCGACUGGUUCGACUCCAGUAAUGGGCA
rnacentral:tRNA from 1 species